rnacentral:rRNA from 1 species
AACGGCCGUACCAUGCUGAAUAUACCGGUUCUCGUUAGAUCACCGAAGUUAAGUAUCAUUGGGCGCGGUCAGUACUUGAGUGCGUGACCACCUGGGAACACUGCGUGCCGUU